UCUCUCCUCUCCUCUCUUUAGAAGGUUUCUCUCUCCUCUUCUCUCUUUAGAAGGUAUCUCUCUCCUCUCCUCUCUUUAGAAGGUAUCUCUCUCCUCUUCUCUCUUUAGAAGGUAUCUCUCUCCUCUUCUCUCUUUAGAAGGUAUCUCUCUCCUCUCCUCUUCUCUCUUUAGAAGGUAUCUCUCUCCUCUCCUCUCUUUAUAAGGUAUCUCUCUCCUCUUCUCUCUUUAGAAGGUAUCUCUCUCCUCUUCUCUCUUUAGAAGGUAUCUCUCUCCUCUCCUCUCCUCUCUUUAGAAGGUAUCUCUC
rnacentral:lncRNA from 1 species